UCCAGCCACCAGAUCGGCCAUCGCAGAAGGAAAACCAACCGAAGGACAGUAGAAGGGAGCAGGAAAUCGAGACUUGAAAGGCUCGCCGAUCUCCCAACCGUGGCUGCGGUGGGCGACACCGCCGGUGUAGAAAUGAAGGAGGAAGAUGGAAGUUGUCGAUCCUGCCAUCCACAUGCCUGACCUGUCAUCGGCAGCGCGUGUAACGCCCAGCUUCAGAUUCGGCAGAUUUGAAGAAAAUAGAGGAGAAGCAGAUCCGAAAACAUGGAUUGAAAAAUAACUAAAAUCAACUGGCUUUGUGCUUUGAUUUUUCUUUGCAGGUCACCACCGGUGGAAGAGGGGAUGAUGCUGUUAAAGACCCCUGUGUUUGUGUGGAAUUUUUGCAGCGGCGCGUGAACCCACGCGCCGCCAGUGACGGUGGCGCAUGGAAGAGACGCGCCGCCACUGUUUUCACACCCAGAA
rnacentral:lncRNA from 1 species